UGGGUUAGACCCACGGCGAACGGCUGCGUAACACGUUGGUACGUCCCCGAACUCAGGGAUAUCCCGCCGAAAGGCGGAGUAAUACCGGAUGCCCUCGCGAGAGGAAAGAUUUAUCGGUUUGGGAACGGCCUGCGGCCUAUCAGCUAGUUGGUAAGGUAACGGCUUACCAAGGCUAUGACGGGUAGCUGAUCUGAGAGGAUGAUCAGCCAGAAUGGAACUGAGACACGGUCCAU
rnacentral:rRNA from 1 species